rnacentral:rRNA from 1 species
CCCAGUUCAGGGAGGUAGUGACAAUAAAUACCUUACAGAGGUCUCGUUAACCGAGAUCUCUCAAACGGAAUGAGUACAACGUGAAUCCUUUAACGAGGAUCGACUGGAGGGCAAGCCUGGUGCCAGCAGCCGCGGUAAUUCCAGCUCCAGUAGCGUAUAUUAAAGCUGUUGCGGUUAAAAAGCUCGUAGUUGGAUAUCAGUGCGUGUCCGGUCCGGUAUGCCUGGCGGCGUCGCUCGCGCGUCGCUGCUGGGCUCCCAAAUAUCGGCUGGCCGCAUUCAAUCGUGCCGGAUCCGUCGGCGGGCCGUUCUUCGGAGGGGCCUGUUGGCGGCCGGCGACGUUACCUUGAACAAAUUAGAGUGCUCAAAGCAGGCUCUGUAUGCCUGUAUACAUAUUCAUGGAAUUGGAGAAUACGUCCCUGGCUCGAUUUGGUUGGUUUUGAGAGUCGAAGGGAAAUGAUUAAUAGGGACUGACGGAGGCAUUCGUAUUGCGACGCGAGGGGUGAAAUCCUGUGACCGUCGCACGACGAACUACUGCGAAAGCAUUUGCCGAGAAUGUUUUCAUUAGUCAAGAACGAAAGUUAGAGGUUCGAAGGCGAUCAGAUACCGCCCUAGUUCUAACCGUAAACGAUGUCGACCAGCAAUCCGCAACGGUCACUACAAGGACUGUGCGGGCAGCUUCCCCGGGGAAACCAGAGUUUUUGGACUCCGGGGGAAGUAUGGUUGCAAAGCUGAAACUUAAAGGAAUUGACGGAAGGGCACCACCAGGAGUGGAGCUUGCGGCUUAAUUUGACUCAACACGGGACAACUCACCAGGCCCGGACACCGUAAGGAUUGACAGACUGAUAGCUCUCUCUUGAUUCAGUGGGUGGUGGUGCAUGGCCGUUCUUAGUUGGUGGAGUGAUUUGUCUGGUUUAUUCCGAUAACGAACGAGACUCUGGCCUAUUAAACUUGACACUGUCAGUCUCUUGUGACUGCGGUGCGCUUCUUAGAGGGAUCAUCGGCGUCCCAGCCGAAGGAAAGGGAGCAAUAACAGGUCUGUGAUGCCCUUAGAUGUUCUGGGCUGCACGCGUGUUACACUGAAGUGGUCAGCGCGCCGUUCAACACCCCUCUCCGUGAGGAGCUUGGGCAAACGUUUGAACCCUUUUCGUGAUGGGAAUUGGGGGUUGCAAUUG